UACAGAGGUCUCAAGCGUUGUUCGGAUUCAUUGGGCGUAAAGGGUGCGUAGGCGGCGCGGUAAGUCGGGUGUGAAAUCUCGGAGCUUAACUCCGAAACUGCAUUCGAUACUGCCGUGCUUGAGGACUGGAGAGGAGACUGGAAUUUACGGUGUAGCGGUGAAAUGCGUAGACAUCGUAAGGAAGAUCAGUGGCGAAGGCGGGUCUCUGGACAGUUCCUGACGCUGAGGUGCGAAAGCGUGGGGAGCAAACAGG
rnacentral:rRNA from 1 species